rnacentral:misc_RNA from 1 species
UAAUAAGUGUUUUAUGGCACUUUUUAGAUCCAUAUCCACCUUGUGUGCAAUGUCGGUCGAUCUUCUUUUUUUGAGGAUCGACCAAACAUCAACCUUUAUCUUUUAACUCUUUGUCUGAAAAAUAUUAUGAAUAAACAAUUCAAAAUA